rnacentral:rRNA from 1 species
GCCAGCAGCCGCGGUAAUACAGAGGGUGCAAGCGUUAUUCGGAAUUACUGGGCGUAAAGCGCGCGUAGGCGGAUAAUUAAGUCAGUUGUGAAAGCCCUGGGCUCAACCUAGGAACUGCAUCUGAUACUGAUUGUCUAGAGUUUAAGAGAGGGANNGUGGAAUUCCAGGUGUAGCAGUGAAAUGCGUAGAUAUCUGGAGGAACAUCAGUGGCGAAGGCGACUUCCUGGCUUAAAACUGACGCUGAGGUGCGAAAGCGUGGGUAGCGAACGGGAUUAGAUACCCCGGUAGUCCACGCCGUAAACGAUGUCAACUAGUUGUUGGUCUUAUUAAAAAGAUUAGUAACGAAGCUAACGCGAUAAGUUGACCGCCUGGGGAGUACGGUCGCAAGAUUAAAACUCAAAGGAAUUGAC